CAUGCACUGGUGGGGUCCCUCAGCCUGGCCUGCACCCUCUUGCAAUCUGGGACCCCUCUGGGGAUGUCAAAGAGCCAGUUUUGGCCCUAUCCCUGCAGGCCAGGCUGAGGGACCCCACCAGUGCACG
rnacentral:pre_miRNA from 1 species